GACGAACGCUGGCGGCGUGCUUAACACAUGCAAGUCGAACGAGAAUCUGUGGAAAGAGGAUUCGUCCAAUUGAAGCAGAGGACAGUGGCGGACGGGUGAGUAACGCGUGAGGAACCUGCCUUUCAGAGGGGGACAACAGUUGGAAACGACUGCUAAUACCGCAUAACAUAUAGAUGUCGCAUGGCAUUUAUAUCAAAGAUUUAUCGCUGAAAGAUGGCCUCGCGUCUGAUUAGCUAGUUGGUGAGGUAACGGCCCACCAAGGCGACGAUCAGUAGCCGGACUGAGAGGUUGAACGGCCACAUUGGGACUGAGAUACGGCCCAGACUCCUACGGGAGGCAGCAGUGGGAUAUUGGGCAACUGGGCGCAAGCCUGACCCAGCCAAGCCGCGUGAAGGAGAAGGCUUUCGGGUUGUAAAC
rnacentral:rRNA from 1 species